rfam:Myceliophthora thermophila ATCC 42464 chromosome 5, complete sequence.
GGCAAGGUGGCCGAGCGGUCCAAGGCGCCACGUUAAGGUGUUUAAACCCUUAAUCCAAAUCCGUGGUCUCGAAAGGGGCGUGAGUUCGAAUCUCACCCUUGUCA